CUCCUUCUCCCUUUUAGAGAAGUCUGUGUCUGUUCUAUCCCUUAAAUAAAAUUUGUUUUCUUUCCUUGGCAUUUCUAGGGUGUUUAAUCUUCAAUAACAGGGGAAAGGAGGACCUGAUCCUGACUUUAGAUUUCUGUCUCCUGAUUGAGCCUAGUGCUUCCUUGUAUGGCCCUACAUGGAGUGAAGUGCCCCCUUCUCUUAAGAACUGAGAUUUUAUUCAAAUAUUUCUGAUGGUAAAAGGUGAAAAUUCUUUGAAGAUGAGAUGUGAAAUGGAAGAGAAGGAUUCAAUGCUUAAGUCUACUGGUAAUUCUGAUAAAAAUUUAUGAUGAAGAAGUAUAA